CACGUGGAUAAUCUACCCGACAGUCAGGGAUAACAUUUCGAAAGGAAUGCUAAUACCUGAUAGGCCUACGCCCUCUUCGGAGGAAGUAGGAAAAGGUGGGGACCUUCGGGCCUGCCGUUGUCGGAUGAGUCCGCGGCCCAUUAGCUAGUUGGUAGGGUAAUGGCCUACCAAGGCUACGAUGGGUAGCUGGUCUGAGAGGAUGAUCAGCCACACUGGAACUGAGACACGGUCCAG
rnacentral:rRNA from 1 species